rnacentral:rRNA from 1 species
UACGGGGGGAGCAAGCGUUGUUCGGAUUUACUGGGCGUAAAGGGCGCGUAGGCGGCCACCGCAAGUCGACUGUGAAAUCUCCGGGCUUAACCCGGAAAGGUCAGCCGAUACUGCGGGGCUAGAGUGCAGAAGGGGCAACUGGAAUUCUCGGUGUAGCGGUGAAAUGCGUAGAUAUCGAGAGGAACACCUGCGGCGAAGGCAGGUCUCUGGGCCACUACUGACGCUGAGAAGCGAAAGCCAGGUAGGGCGCGAAACGGGAUUAG